UUUAAACACAAGUGCGGCAAUCCUUGUGCUAUAGCGAACCCACGUCUAGGGUUUAAAGGCAGACAUGACCUCAACGCGACACUGAACAGUUUCCAUUCCCUCACACAACAUCGGAUUAUUUUUUUUUCUUCUCAAGCAGGACACUCAAGUUUCAUCUCUCUUCUCUCUACCACUGUUGUUUUUAGUCAGAGAAUAAAGAGUUCUUUGUUCGAUAGGAUUACAAAACCAUGAACUAGUUACUAGAUCUAGAUAUUGAGGCUUACAUCUAGAUAUAAAGUUUAGAUCCCAACACC